rnacentral:rRNA from 1 species
GGGGGGGGGGGGGGGGGGGGGGGGGGGGGGGGGGGCGGGCGGGGGCGGCGGGGCGGGUGUCGCACGGGGGCGUAACGGGUGGGGACCUGGCCUUCGGGUCGGAAUAACUCCCCGGAGGGGGUGCUCAUCCCGGGUCAUGGCUUCGGACCACAGAUUUAGCGCCGUUGGAUGGGCCCGCGUUGGAUUAGCUAGGUGGUUGGGUAAACGCCCACCAAGGCGACGCUCCAUAGCCGGUCUGAGAGGAGGAUCAGCCACACUGGGACUGAGACACGGCCCAGACUCCUCCGGGAGGCAGCAGUGGGGAAUAUUGGACAAUGGGCGAAAGCCUGAUCCAGCAAUGCCGCGUGAGUGAUGAAGGCCUUAGGGUUGUAAAGCUCUUUUACCCGGGAUGAUAAUGACAGUACCGGGAGAAUAAGCGCCGGCUAACUCCGUG